rnacentral:lncRNA from 1 species
UACCUCCAAAACUAGCCCUCGGUGUCGUAUUACGUACUUUCCUGCUCGAGAACGCAUCGGGUGUCUGGCUGUAGAAGAUAGUAUGGAGAUUCGCUAAUAUUCAAGCAGUCUAUCGGUUUUUGACUGUUGGAAUAUAAACGAUUGCAAGAAUAUAUCGUAAAUCUAUACGGAUGUCCUUCGACUGCUUGCCAAAAUCUUUUUUGCCCUAGCCGAUAGGUCUCUAGACGUUACAGAUAACCCCGAACAACUCAAUCUGCUAAUCUCCAAUACCGCUUUAUACUCACGACCUUGUAUCCAUUGAUUGUCUUGUUAGAUUAACCCAAUAAAUUUCAUUCACUCCGCAUACUCAAUCCUAUAGACAUCCUUUUAAUUCUUCAAUCACAGACGUAAUUUCGAUUUUACAAAACAGUCAAGAGUAAUCACACUCACUUCAUUAAAACCCCGAUUCACCAGUACAACACUUCGACUAUUCAGCAAUGAUUACCUCAGUCUUUCCAAAACCCUAUGAAGAAAAAAACCCCAAUUCUCUGUCUUUUUUCCCCCUCUCGAAGCAUGAAGCUAGCUCUCCGACCCUUCUAAACCCUUAUUCUCUCUCCUUCAUUUCUUAACCUAUCCUCCCCU